rnacentral:rRNA from 1 species
GCUUGACUGUAGCUUGUAAUUGGGUUCGGCUUUUUUUGCGCAGCCUAGGUGGGAGGCAACGAUGAUUUUUUUCCGGAAAAAUUUGAGCCGUUAGUGAGAGACCACUCUGAAAGGCUAGAAUCCUAAUAAUGAUCCUUGAAUCAGGACAUUUGACAGUUGCAGGUGGGCAGUUUUACUGGGGCGGUAUUCUCCUAAAAAGUAACGGAGGGGUGCAAAGGUUCCCUCAAGCUGGACGGAAAUCAGCUUAAGAGUGUAAAGGCAAAAGGGAGCUUGACUGCAAGACCUACAAGUCGAGCAGGGCGAAAGCCGGCCUUAGUGAUCCGACGGUACCACGUGGAAGGGCCGUCGCUCAACGGAUAAAAGUUA